UGGGGAAUCUUGCGCAAUGGGCGAAAGCCUGACGCAGCCAUGCCGCGUGAAUGAUGAAGGUCUUAGGAUUGUAAAAUUCUUUCAGCAGGGACGAUAAUGACGGUACCUGCAGAAGAAGCCCCGGCUAACUUCGUGCCAGCAGCCGCGGUAAUACGAAGGGGGCUAGCGUUGCUCGGAAUUACUGGGCAUAAAGGGAGCGUAGGCGGGUCGUCAAGUUGGGGGUGAAAGCCCAGGGCUCAACCCUGAACUGCCUUCAAAACUGGCGACCUAGAGUAUGGUAGAGGUGUGUGGAACUCCGAGUGUAGAGGUGAAAUUCGUAGAUAUUCGGAAGAACACCAGUGGCGAAGGCGACACACUGGGCCAUUACUGACGCUGAGGCUCGAAAGCGUGGGGAGCAAACAG
rnacentral:rRNA from 1 species